AGCGAACGCUGGCGGCAGGCCUAACACAUGCAAGUCGAACGAAGUCUUCGGACUUAGUGGCGGACGGGUGAGUAACACGUGGGAACGUACCUUUUGGUUCGGAACAACUCAGGGAAACUUGAGCUAAUACCGGAUGAGCCCUUAGGGGGAAAGAUUUAUCGCCGAAAGAGCGGCACGCGUUAGAUUAGCUAGUUGGUGAGGUAAAGGCUCACCAAGGCUACGAUCUAUAGCUGGUCUGAGAGGAUGAUCAGCCACACUGGGACUGACACGGCCCAGACUCCUACGGGAGGCAGCAGUGGGGAAUCUUGCGCAAUGGGCGAAAGCCUGACGCAGCCAUGCCGCGUGAAUGAUGAAGGUCUUAGGAUUGUAAAAUUCUUUUACCAGGGACGAUAAUGACGGUACCUGGAGAAAAAGCCCCGGCUAACUUCGUGCCAGCCGCCGCGGUAAGAC
rnacentral:rRNA from 1 species